UACGGAGGGUGCAAGCGUUAUCCGGAUUCACUGGGUUUAAAGGGUGCGUAGGCGGGUUGGUAAGUCCGUGGUGAAAUCCCCAAGCUUAACUUGGGAACUGCCGUGGAUACUAUCAAUCUUGAAUAUCGUGGAGGUAAGCGGAAUAUGUCAUGUAGCGGUGAAAUGCUUAGAUAUGACAUAGAACACCGAUUGCGAAGGCAGCUCACAAAACUGUAACUGACACUGAGGCUCGAAAGUGCGGGGAUCAAACAGG
rnacentral:rRNA from 1 species